rnacentral:rRNA from 1 species
CAGUAGCCGCGGUAAAACGUAGGGUGCAAGCGUUAAUCGGAAUUACUGGGCGUAAAGCGCGCGUAGGUGGUUUGUUAAGUUGGAUGUGAAAUCCCCGGGCUCAACCUGGGAACUGCAUCCAAAACUGGCAAGCUAGAGUAUGGUAGAGGGUGGUGGAAUUUCCUGUGUAGCGGUGAAAUGCGUAGAUAUAGGAAGGAACACCAGUGGCGAAGGCGACCACCUGGACUGAUACUGACACUGAGGUGCGAAAGCGUGGGGAGCAAACAGGAUUAGAUACCCCCGUAGUCCCUGUCUCUUAUAC